CUGUGUGACUGCGUACCUUUUGUAUAAUGGGUCAGCGACUUAUAUUCUGUAGCAAGGUUAACCGUAUAGGGGAGCCGGAGGGAAACCGAGUCUUAAUUGGGCGUUAAGUUGCAGGGUAUAGACCCGAAACCCGGUGAUCUAGCCAUGGGCAGGUUGAAGGUUGGGUAACACUAACUGGAGGACCGAACCGACUAAUGUUGAAAAAUUAGCGGAUGACCUGUGGCUGGGGGUGAAAGGCCAAUCAAACCGGGAGAUAGCUGGUUCUCCCCGAAAGCUAUUUAGGUAGCGCCUCGUGAAUUCAUCUCCGGGGGUAGAGCACUGUUUCGGCUAGGGGGCCAUCCCGGCUUACCAACCCGAUGCAAACUGCGAAUACCGGAGAAUGUUAUCACGGGAGACACACGGCGGGUGCUAACGUCCGUCGUGAAGAGGGAAACAACCCAGACCGCCAGCUAAGGUCCCAAAGUCAUGGUUAAGUGGGAAACGAUGUGGGAAGGCCCAGACAGCCAGGAUGUUGGCUUAGAAGCAGCCAUCAUUUAAAGAAAGCGUAAUAGCUCACUGGUCGAGUCGGCCUGCGCGGAAGAUGUAACGGGGCUAAACCAUGCACCGAAGCUGCGGCAGCGA
rnacentral:rRNA from 1 species